rnacentral:rRNA from 1 species
AGAUCCAUGGCGCAGCUGAUCAGCCAUGCCGCGUGAGUGAUGAAGGCCCUAGGGUUUGAAAACUGCUUUUGCAGGGGAGAAAACGCCUGUAUUUAUGGGGGUAUGACCGGACAAUACCAAUAAACAACCCCUAACUCUGUGCCAGCAGCCGCGGUAAUGUAA